GUGCUCGCUUUGGCAGCACAUAUACUAAAAUUGGAAUGAUACAGAGAAGAUUAGCAUGGCCCCUGCACAAUUUACUUAUUUUUGGGUGAAGCACUGGAAAAGGUU
rnacentral:snRNA from 1 species